CAGGUUUCGUUACCAAUUUUCAGACCAUCUUCCGUCCCUGAGUUGGCGAUCUGUAUACGCCACUCGUCAAUCAACUCUAUCUUGAGUCACGGUGCAUAUUCCGCUAGGUAUACGAAGCGCUUGAAUGAACCUUCUUCGCGCCAACAAUGAACACUGGGCUAUUCUAGCGGCCAGGUGACCUGGCGGCCAGCAGUUAUUGAGCACAGUCAUCUCGAUGCCCACCCUGUGGGCCAACUGGUCAGCUCUUCAAUCAGCCUGGCGUCUUGGUGACCGUACUACAGACUUGGUGAUCCUCUGUUCUGGAAGCCUGGUGACUCCCCAUGCUGUGGACCUGGUGGCCAGCUGCUCUAGCUACCUGGUAUCAUGCUGCCCGCUCUGCUCGCCCGGUACCCAGGCCUUUUGGCGGUCUGGUAUCUUGCUGCCCAUAUUGUGGACCAAUUGGACGGCAGUCCUGGCAGGCAGCCUGGUUUGUUGUUGCCUGUCCUGUGGAACUGGUGGCCAGGUAUUCUGGGGACAUGGUCUGCUGCUGAUCAAAAGAUCGGGCUUGCGGUAUAGAGUCGCAUGAGAAAAAAAGGUCGUUUCUUUCUAUCACAAUUUCUUUAUAAAGAACGGCUGGUUGGGUUAGUUGGUGGGUUAAGAUUUUCAAAAUUAGCGACUCGGCUGACUUCGUUCCUUUCUGUUUGGUUUCGGCCAUUUUCCUGUAUAUAAAUGUCGCGCUCGACUCAAUAAUCGGUUACGUAGGCAACCCCGAUAUCGCGGCUUGCUUUCGCCUAGGCUAACGUUUUACCUUUGUCUAUGCCUGUAGUUGCACGCAAGAGUGCUUGCCUGAUCUGCGCUGUAUAAAGUGAAUGACCCAUAGCAACUAGCUCACGCCCAGACCCUUCUGAAACUUCACUCUAUUCGUGAUAGGUUUGUCUGUCUGUCUGUCUUUUGACUUGUUAAUCCGUAUCUGACUUCUUUAACUCCACCUUGGGUCAGGGAGUAGUCCACGGUCUGAUAUGUAGGACACCGGUCUUCAAUGAACUUAUUCUACGCUAUCUUGGGUCACUGCUUAUGUGCCAUUAGGUACGUGGCGCUCAUGAACGAACCUUUCUUCACGCUAACUAGGGUUACUGGGUUGUUCUAGCGGCCCGGUGUCUUAGUCCCUCGCCUGCGGGCCCGGUGGCCAGCAGUUCCAGUGCUGUUAUCUUGCUGCCCGCCCUGUGGACCUGAUGGUCAGCUCUUCCAUCGGCCUGGUGUCUCGCUGCCCGCUUUGCGGAUCUGGUGACUUCCCGUUCUAGCGAAGUGGUAUCACGCUGCCCACCCUGCAGACCUGGCGGCCAGCUGUUCCGGUAACCUGCGGCCCGGUGUCCUAGUCCCUCGCCUGCGGUCCCGGUGGCCAGCAGUUCCAGUGCUCUGUUAUCUGGCUGCCCGCCCUGUUGACCUGGUGGUCAGCUCUUCCAUCGGCCUGGCGUCUCGCUGCUCGCUUUGCGGAUCUGGUCACCUCCCGUUCUUGCGAAGUGGUAUCACGCUGCUCACCCUGCAGACCUGGCGGCCAGCUGUUCCGGUAACCUGGUAUAUUGCUGCUCAAUCUACGAUCCUGAUCAACAACUGUGGUAGCAACCUGCUUCGUCGAUGCCCACCCUAUAGCUUAGUUCACGGGGCAGUCCAAGGUCUGGUGCGUAAAGGAUGGGGCCGCCCUGCUUAAAGAGCCGGGUUCGUUACCAGCCUGCAGACCAAGUUGUGUCACUGAGUUUGAACGUGGCCUGGUGUCUUGGUCGCCGCCCUGCAGACCUGGUGGCCAGCAGCUCUUGCCUACUUGUGCACUGCUGCCCGUACAGCGGACCUAGUGGCCAGCUCUUCUACAGCCUGGUGUCUUGCUGCCCGCCUUGUCGAUCAAGAAGCCACCCGUUCUUGCGAAGUGAUCGUCCUGAUUGUGUCGUGGACCCGUCUGGCAAGCAAAGAUGAUGCUGGCCACUCCUGCAUCGUCACCGGGACCAGCGUGAGAGGCAGCACGAUGGCCGACUCUACGAGUGCAUCGAACACGUGACUUCUUCCUAAUCUUUCCAUUGAAUUUCACUCGGCAAAGCGGCCAGGUGACCUGGCGGCCAGCAGUUAUUGAGCACCGCUAUCUCGAUGCCCAUCCUGGUGUCUUGGUGCCCGCACUGCAGACUUGGUGGUCCUCUAUCCUGGAGGCCUGGUGACUCCCCAUGCUGUGGACCUGGUGGCCAGCUGCUCUAGCUACCUGGCCAUGCUGCCCGCUCUGCUCGCCUGGUACCCAGCGGCCUGGUGUCUUAGUCCCUCGCCUGCGGGCCCGGUGGCCAGCAGUUCGUGCUGUUAUCUUGCUGCCCGCCCUGUGGACCUGGUGGUCAGCUCUUCCAUCGACCUGGUGUCUCGCUGCCCGCUUUGCGGAUCUGGUGACCUCCCGUUGUUCCGAACUGGUAUCACGCUGGCCACCCUGCAGACCUGGCGGCCAGCUGUUCCGGUAACCUGGUCGACCUGACUUCUUUAGCAGCGAGGUGAACAUCUCCUGCAGCAUGCUCAUGUCAAGACACAUGUCGCAGCGUCGAGCAACGUACGUGACACAGUGUUCAUGCCACUGGCAAGGCUGCAGCACACUCUGUUGUCCUCGCGCAGCCGGAUGCUCCAUUUUGGAUGUCGGUUGGCCAGGAUGUCCAGCAAGUUCCAGAGCAGCGUGCUCACCGGAAGUUCUCCGGAGGAUCCGGAUGCUCACCGGAGGAUCUCCCCACCACGGACUUCGGAGAAUCCCUCGAUCUGAAGCAACCUGGUGCGCGAGCCACCGAGCAGCCGCUGACCCAGACUGGAGAGGUUCAGCUCGAACGCCAGGUCUCGAACUUGCGUCAGAGCGGCCACUUUCACUGACAUGACGACGUGGCCAUUCGCACCGUUUUUGAAAAUUACGACAAGCGCUUGGUUCCGCACACACAAAAAUAAAGUCUGAAAACACCGCAGGCCAGAAGGCCAGAAGACGACGACGAUGGCGACGUGUAACGCCCAUGACGUGCAAGAUGUCUUACACUUCACGUACCACGACUCGAACUAAUAAGUGUUUCCGGGGUACGUCCUGGGUAGCUUGAGGGCCGGAGGAAUGCUUUUGCUGGUGUACGAAUGGUUAAGAGCUUCGAAAUAAAGUUACGGUGUGUGGAAUUGA